GAUGAACGCUGGCGGCGUGCUUAACACAUGCGAGUCGAACGAAACACCUUAUUUGAUUUUCUUCGGAACUGAAGAUUUGGUGAUUGAGUGGCGGACGGGUGAGUAACGCGUGGGUAACCUGCCCUGUACAGGGGGAUAACAGUCAGAAAUGACUGCUAAUACCGCAUAAGACCACAGCACCACAUGGUGCAGGGGUAAAAACUCCGGUGGUACAGGAUGGACCCGCGUCUGAUUAGCUGGUUGGUGAGGUAACGGCUCACCAAGGCGACGAUCAGUAGCCGGGUUGAGAGAGUGAACGGCUACAUUGGGACUGAGACACGGCCCACACUCCUACGGGAGGCAGCAGUGGGGAAUAUUGCACAAUGGGGGAAACCCUGACGCAGCGACGCGGCGUGAGUGAAGAAGUAUUUCGGUAUGUAAAGCUCUAUCAGCAGGGAAGAAAAUGACGGUAACUGACUAAGAAGCCCCGGCUAACUACGUG
rnacentral:rRNA from 1 species